CUACCCCAGACCGAAUGGAGUGACCCAGAGGAUCCCCAGAGGAGGGAGAGGAGUCUCGGCGGCUGCGGAGACCAGUCGGGGGUCCGGAGGGAGUAUGCCGGAGACCGUGGCACUACGGUUGUCCAUCUUAGAGACCAACUUGUCACGGCUGUCGGAAACCGUAGGAAGAUUGGUGCCGUUGUUGGAAGAGAAUCUCCAGAGGGAGCCCACCCAAUACGGUACCGAAAGAGGACCGUGCAAGGACGAAGCUUGGAGCCAAAGGGGCCAGCGCGCGUCAACGCAGAGCCCAACAGCAGCAGGCGGCGAUGGAGAUGAGGAGUAUUGGCAGGAGCUGGAGUUCCGAGAAAGGAUGGCGCGCGAGGUGGAUCGCCAGCGAGCCUUGGGAACCCUGAGACCGCCAACCCCAACAGGAAUCCCAACCCCCCGAAUUGGUGUCGGAGUCGAAAUACCGCUAGGACCAGGGAUCGGGUCCAGUGGGUUGGUGGAGGAGGGCGGAGAGGAACCGGAAAUCCACGGAGAUGGAGAGGAUGCGCCAUCCGACGACGGAAGACGGAACGAAGGGGCUACAGCAGGGCCUACGUUUAGGUGGAUGGAAGGGCCGACGGCAGCGUCGGAAUUCCGAGGACCGCGGGGGGCAACCGCCGGACUGGGGCGCGGCGUGGCCAAAGGGUCAGUUCAGGGGAACCUGAUGCAACCCCUCCCCAUGCCACCCGUUCAAAGGCAACAUACCGCAGAAUGGAUGCCUAGGAGAGAGGAGCUUAAACUGGAAUACGGAGGGGAAUCAUCCGAGCUGAACUUUUUCCUCAUUGGCAUCAGGGGAUACAUGGAGGAUAACGCGCAUACAUUCCCCUCCGAAGGAAGCAAGGUUCGGGCCAUCGGAAAUACCCUCAAAAGGGGGGCGGCCAGCUGGUAUGUACGAUUACACGCCAGGCACGACCCGUGCUUGAGAUCAGUGCCCCGAUUUCUAGCCGCACUGGAGAACCGUUUUAGAGACCCGCUGGAGCAAUUAAGAGCUCGCGACCAAUUAAAAGUCGUAAAGCAAAGGGACAAGACGGUACCCGAGUAUGCAGAGGAAUUCCUCCAUCUUGCGGAAAAGGUACCAGAGUGGUCCGAAGUGACCAAAGUGGAAAUAUUUAAAGAAGGACUGCGCCCAG
rnacentral:lncRNA from 1 species